rnacentral:lncRNA from 10 species
AAGAAAGAGGAUAUGUACUUGUUAGUGAGAAGAAUCUACUUCCAGUGAGGACAGACUUAACCACUUCUUGUCCAUGAGGGCAGUUAAAAUGCAAGAAAAUUUCUUUUCCAGUCUUCCUUAGAUAGCUAUGUGAUCCACCGGACUAAUGAGACAGAAGACAGUGUCCUUUGGAAGACAUUUGUAAAAGAACCCUCCCCCCACCAUUUAAAAAAAAGGAAAAGAAAAAAGGAGAGUUACAGGGGAGUCCUCCUCCUCCCUUCCUUUGCUGUCAUUAUUAGAAUGAUGCUGAACUUCAUGUGUAAGAAUAAACACAUGACAAUAGCCAGGAGAAGCAAGAGGAGGGGCAAGAAAUGAAGGGAUCAUUAAUGGGCAACAUAUUUUUCUAGGACUAUUUAUAAUUGCAACUGUAUUGUGCAAUGUCUGGAAUUAAUCUCAAAGCAAAUAUUGUAUUUUAUGGGGGAAAAUUUAAAAAACAAUAAAAU